CCCUUAGAUGUUCUGGGCCGCACGCGCGCUACACUGAUGCAUUCAACGAGCCUAUCCUUGACCGACAGGUCCGGGUAAUCUUUGAAUCUGCAUCGUGACGGGGAUAGAUUAUUGCAAUUAUUAAUCUUCAACGAGAAAUGCCUAGUAGGCGCAAGUCAUCAGCUUGCGUCGAUUACGUCCCUGCCCUUUGUACACACCGCCCGUCGCUCCUACCGAUUGGGUGUGCUGGUGAAAUGUUCGGAUCGGCCGUUUGUCGCGGUUUCCGCGGCUCGUGGCUGAGAAGUUCAUUAAACCCUCCCACCUAGAGGAAGGAGAAGUCGUAACA
rnacentral:rRNA from 1 species